GAUGAACGCUAGCGACAGGCUUAACACAUGCAAGUCGAGGGGCAGCGAGGGCGUAGCAAUACGCCUGUCGGCGACCGGCGCACAGGUGAGUAACACGUAUGCGACCUGCCCCCUACAGGGGUAUAACCCGUAGAAAUGCGGACUAAUCCCCCAUAGUCCUGGGUGCUGCAUGGCAUUCAGGGGAAAGGCCAGCCGGUAGGGGAUGGGCAUGCGGCGCAUUAGCUAGUUGGCGGGGCAACGGCCCACCAAGGCGACGAUGCGUAGGGGUUCUGAGAGGAAGGUCCCCCCACACUGGUACUGAGACACGGACCAGACUCCUACGGGAGGCAGCAGUGAGGAAUAUUGGUCAAUGGGCGAGAGCCUGAACCAGCCAAGUAGCGUGCAGGAUGACGGCCCUAUGGGUUGUAAACUGCUUUUAUAAGGGAUAAAGUGAGAGUCGUGACUCUUUUUGCAUGUACCUUAUGAAUAAGGACCGGCUAAUUCCGUG
rnacentral:rRNA from 1 species